GCUUUGGCCGAGUGGUGGACGAAGGCGAUGGACUAUAAAUCCAUUGGGAUCUUCCCGCGCAGGUUCGAAUCCUGCCGACAACG